ensembl:processed_transcript 8030451A03Rik RIKEN cDNA 8030451A03 gene
AUGGGAUGGGGCAAAUGGGUAUAGUCUUUUUAUAACUUGAUUGGACACAUCAGUAUGAAGGCAGAAUUAAAAAGAAAACACUAUUUCAUUUACUUUAAUUAUUAUAAAAUCUUCAGAAGAGAACUAGGUAUUCUGGAUUUAUGUUUUGCAUAUAGCAGUUGUUUUUAAAAAAACAGAAAAAUCAUGUUUAAUAAUGUGAACAUUGUUUUCUCUUGUGCUAUGGAAGCUAGUUCAGUAUGUGUGUACUUAAAUAAGAGGAAAGAGGCUGGAAGCAAAAUAAUGUUCUGGUCUCUACCCAAAACACCCCUUUUUUCCCCCUCCCUCUUUGCAAAGUCUUAAAGUCUUAAAAGCUGUGGUGAUUAGCUUCCACACUUCUUUCCUAAAUGCAAAGUGA